CCCUUAGAUGUUCUGGGCCGCACACGCGCUACACUGUUCGACGCAGCGAGUCUUAACCUUGACCGAAAGGUUUGGGUAAUCUUCAGCAAAGUCGAACGUGAUGGGGAUCGAUCAUUGCAAUUAUUGAUCGUGAACGAGGAAUUCCUAGUAAGUGCAAGUCAUCAGCUUGCGCUGAUUACGUCCCUGCCCUUUGUACACACCGCCCGUCGCUACUACCGAUUGAAUGGUUUAGUGAGAUCUCUGGAUUGACGCUGGCUAGGGGGCGACCCUUGGCCAGGCUGUCGAGAAACUGCUCAAACUUGAUCAUUUAGAGGAAGUAAAAGUCGUAACA
rnacentral:rRNA from 1 species